rnacentral:misc_RNA from 1 species
AACAGCAUCAACGUUGCAGAGUUAAGAGAGGGCUUAACUUUGUGUUAAGAGAGGGCUUGUCUCUAGAUAAUUGCAGAGUCCUCUCCUGUUAAACAUUCUAUUAAUCUAGUAGCUAAACCAAAAACUCACAACUCCCUUCAAAAGUGGCACUAAAUGGGUGAAUUUGAUGUUCAUUCAAGUGCAUCAGAACAAGCAUUGUAAAUUCUCUCUCUUGAGAGAGAGAUUUUGCUCACUUUUUUUCGGCUUUCUUUCUCGGAUUUUAACCGAGCGAUUGGUACUUCCCCUGCCCAAAGGGCAGGAGAGGGCUUCUCUAUUUUGCUCCAACUGGAUUCAUGGCUUUCCUCUCCAUAUCAGGUUGGUUGUUGAUAAUUUCGAUUUUGGUUUUGGUUUGCGAAUCUUGGAGCUUUAAAGGUGGGGGAAAUACACUAUUGAUCAGUCAUCUGCUAGAGCUGAGGUAAGGCUCUGUUAGAGCUGGUAAAGUUCAGAUUAUGUUGUUCUGUUCUAGGUCUAGAGGCAUCCACUGCUGCGAUGGAAGGGCUAUAUGCAUGCUGAUGUCGGGACCUCCAGGGUGGUCUAUAGCUGAAUGACGCUUGAGCCUGUGCUUCUUAUUGCUUGUGAUAAGUCUCUUUGAGAUUAUUGGUUUUGUUAGUGAUCUCAACCUCGUUCAGUAAUCCAACGUGUUGAAGGUUGCAAGAACAGCGGCACGAUGCAUCUUUCUCUUCUCCUAGGGUUUCUGAGUAGGUGGGAGAUUGGGUUGGGCUGUUGGUAUACUAGGCUAGUUUGCGCUGGUUUUGGGCCGCUAUUUUUAUGUUCUAAGCCCAGCAAAUGUGUGUUGCCCUUUGGGCCAUUUAAUGAAAUGCAAUUGUAAUUCACAAACAAAAGAAAAAGAAAUCAGAACAAGCAUUUAAUACCAUAUACAAAUUAACGGAUAUGUUACAUAUUCCCUUUGAACAAUGAAGGAGAUCAUAAGAUCAUAGUUGUAGAACAUUAUAAUUUUAUUUACAAACCACUUGCAACUAAGACCCUUCCUGCAUGUGGAUAUGAGACCGUCCCUUGUUGUUUACCUCAAGAGGCCUUCUUCUGUUUGUAUUUUUUGGCACAGACAAUGUAGACGAACAUGUUUAUGACGCUAAGUCCAGCUAAGAGCCAGAAAUAAUAAUCAAGAUGGCCCUUGUUCAAGUUGUCAGGAAUCCAUCCUGGCUUCCCACCUGCAGUUGUGAAGUAUGUUACCAUAGUCAGAAUAAAAGAGCUCAGAUAAUUGCCCAAAGAUGUUGUCAGAAGUGACAAUGCACUGCAUAAACUCCGCAUGGCAUCUGGAGAUUGCUCAUAGAAAAAUUCAAGCUGCCCGAUAAAUGUAAAGACCUCCGCAGCACCUACAAACAUAUAUUGGGGGAUUUGCCAAAAGAUACUAAGAGGCACAGCAGCAUCCUCAUCGACCAACCCAAGCUCUUUGGCGAGCUGUAGACGCCUGAUCUCUACCAAAGCAGCAGCAGACAUGGAUAAAACUGAAAUGAAAAGGCCAAUUCCCAUCCGUUGCAAUUGAGAGAAGCCCCUCUCUUUUCCUGUGAACUUCCUGGCAAUCGGAACAAUGAUCCUAUCAUAGAUUGGCACCCAGCAAAUAACACUGAUAACAUCAAAUGUUGACAAGGAGGCAGGAGGAAUGGUGAAAGAACCAAUGGUUGUGUCCAUCAGCAUCCCUUGUUCCACAAACAUUGUAGACAUUUGGGCAUAGACAGCAGAAAAGACGAUUCCUGUGGCCCAGAUUGGGAACAUGCGGACCAAAAUCUUCAAUUCCUCCACCUGUGUCACUGUACAAAGCCUCCAUGGAUUGGAAAAGUCACCACUUUUGGCAUCAGUAUCUGAAAUUACAGCAGCUUUAUCAAGGCACUUCAAGCCAUUGCUAUGCUCCAGCUUUCUGCUCCCUUCAAUCGCUGAGCUUCCUUCUUGUGUUUCAUAUAGGAGACUACUAUCGCUGGGAACCUCCAGAUUCCUCUUACGGAAUGAUGCAACCAAAACCUGGCACAUUCUUGUAAUAGGACUCCCCCCUGGUUUCUGAAAUCUAUAGAGGGUUGUGCCUGAAAAGAAGCUUGCAAUAGCAAUGCCCAUAAAUAAUGCAGGAAUUCCAAAUCCCAGACCCCACCCAGCAUUGUCUUGAAUAUAAACCAGUAGACUACUUGAUAUAAGAGCACCAAUGUUGAUAGAAAAAUAAAACCAGUUGAAGAAAGAUCCCUUCUUCACCCUUUCCUGAGGAUCAGUGUCAUCAAAUUGGUCAGCCCCAAAGGAAGAAACACAAGGCUUGAUACCACCUGUCCCAAGUGCAAUCAGAUAAAGCCCAAAGAAGAACACUGCAUAUUGAGCUGGACUUGCAGGAGGACAUAUAGAACCCACACAUUCAACUGGCUUUAAUGCGGGAACUGAAGCUGAGAGUGUCAAGGUACACAUCCCAAUUAAAUAGAUUGUUGAGAAAGCAGCUAUUGUCCAAUAUCUUCCCCAAUAAGCAUCUGCCAGGACAGCUCCAAUGAGGGGCAUAAUGUAGCAAGUGCCUGCCCAGGUUGUAACAUUUCUAGCCGCAGACACAUUUCCUUCGUGCAGCUUAUUGGUAAGAUAAGUAACAAGAUUAGUGGCGAUCCCAUAAUAGGCCAAACGCUCACAACAUUCAGUACCCAAAAUGAAAGGACAUGCUCUCCAAUUUCCAGUCUUCUCUUUAAUGACAGGAUUGCCAUGAAGGUCAACUGAGCCAUCGCCCGUAUAGAGCUUAUUGCUCUUGUUCUGUUCCAGGAGCCCGUCCUCCAAAAGCGAUUUCUGUUCCUCCACCGAACCCAUGUUAAAUUCUACGAUUGAACAAGAGGAUGAUUUGGGUCGAUCAAUCAGAGAAGAGAAGGGGAGAAUCAGAUUAAAAAGUGCCGGGCGAGGGAUCAAUGGAUGACGUAUAAUGUUGAACAAGGUAGGUGGGCCGGUUUAGGAACUUUU